AUUGAACGCUGGCGGAAUGCUUUACACAUGCAAGUCGAACGGUAGAGGGGGCAACCCCUUGAGAGUGGCGAACGGGUGAGUAAUAUAUCGGAACGUGCCCAGUCGUGGGGGAUAACGUAGCGAAAGUUACGCUAAUACCGCAUACGAUCUAAGGAUGAAAGCGGGGGAUCGCAAGACCUCGCGCGAUUGGAGCGGCCGAUAUCAGAUUAGGUAGUUGGUGGGGUAAAGGCUCACCAAGCCAACGAUCUGUAGCUGGUCUGAGAGGACGACCAGCCACACUGGAACUGAGACACGGUCCAGACUCCUACGGGAGGCAGCAGUGGGGGAAUUUUGGGACAAUGGACGAAAGUCUGAUCCAGCCAUUCCGCGUGCAGGAUGAAGGCCCUCGGGUUGUAAACUGCUUUUGUACGGAACGAAAAGGUCUCUAUUAAUACUAGGGGCUCAUGACGGUACCGUAAGAAUAAGCACCGGCUAACUACGUG
rnacentral:rRNA from 1 species